rnacentral:lncRNA from 10 species
GUGAAGCGUAACCUGCUGAACUUCUCCUACCGCAUCGCGCAGUACAUGGAGGUCAUCUCCGACCUGCCCAGGGAGAUCGAGCACCUUAAAUCAAAAAUUGGGAAGCGAGAAAAGGAGAAGAAAAGUGAAGCCAGCAUCCGGGACGCCCGAGUCCCAAUGCUGUCCCAUGACACAGAGGAGGACAGCCACGUACAGAUGAACAAGAUCUGGGCACAGCUCAUCGGGGCCUUCAAGGAGCAGAUGGAGAUGCGACGCAGCCUGGUGGAGCUGAAGAACACCAACAUUGAGCUGCACACGGACGUGUCCCGCCACCUGCUGUCCAUUGCAGAGCUGGGCUGGAGCACGCGAAGAGGAAGACGUCACAGAUGGAGAGGCUGCUGCCCAGGCGGGUCACCAGCGAGGACCAGCAGGAGGUGCUGCGGCUGCUGUGCAGGGCGCACGAGCUGGAGGUGGAGAACACGGAGCUGCAGGCCUACAACCUGUGCCGCAAGAACCGGCUGUGCCAGAAGGACUUUGUGAUCCAGCGCUACCACCAGCACUGGCUGCUGUGCGAGCAGCUGAUCCAGGAGGAGCGGCAGCUGAUCCAGGACAGUGGCCUCCUGGUGCCAGAGCUCCUGGAGAAGCGGUUCCGCCUGUACUCCCGGGAGCUGGACGAGGGCGCGCUGACCUGCCUGAUGCUGCUGCACCCACUCAUGUUCAGCUCCCUCCGGAGGAGUCCAGCCGCGACCAGCCGGACGACAGGAAGGACCUGCCAUGGGGUGCCCAGUUUGAGCUGCCUCCAGUGCUCCUGGAGAGGGACAGGGACUCUGCCUGUCUCUUCAGCCACGCUGGCCCUUCUUUUGCCCUUGUCCUGCCGGAACCCGUCAUCUGACCCUCUCAGAUCAGCACAAACUCUUGUCCCCCUGCCACGGUCCUUCCCCCCCAAUAAACGACUUGCCUGGAGUCAUUGUCUUGCUGCUGCUACUGGUGACCUCACCUGGGACCAUGGUGACAGCCCGGUGGCAUCUGAUUUCCUGCAGAAGCCAAGUGCCCUGAGCAUGAAGAGCCUGGUCUCCAAGCUGUACCCCUCGGUCCUGGAGCCAAGCACUUCGAGGCUGGCUGGGGAGGCUGGUGGCCCAGCCCUGAGUGCUCGGGUCCUCCAGGAGAUGGCCAAGGGCACCAAGAGCAUCACCCUCAUCACAGCCACUCAGCACUCCAAGGCGCACGACUGGGAGGGCAGCAGUGGCCGCUCCUCCUGCCACCUCCUAGAGGAAAUGGCCCUGGACUGCAGGGACCUGAAGUCAAGCACCACCCCAGACCCCAGCCUGGCAGACAGAAGGUGGCCCCACGCUGGCCGGUGCAGGGACCGCUCCGUGGAGAGGAAGGCCAAGAAGAAGCGGUCACCCUCCCUCCCUGGGACCGUGCAGCCGGCGAGGGAGAAGCUGCCAUCCCCCUGCAGGGAGUGUUUGGCGGAGAGUCAGCCACCCCCAGCACUCCUUCGGCCGUCAAAGUCAUCAGGAAAGAGCUUAUUCCCUGCUAUCCCUGUGGCCUCCAAGAUAAAACCCGGCCUCAGUUUCCGUGCAGGUUAUUGGCACUCCGAUCUGUCCCUGUGGUGAAAGCAGAUUUAUGGGUGUCAGUGCUCCUUGAAGGGUGUCCACCAGCUGUUCCCAGCCUGCACCAAGGGAAGCACAGAAGUUGAGAAGACCUAUACGGCAAUUCGAUGGUGCCACAAUUGGUGAUCAACGGCCUAGAUCCUGCAUUUUUAUUUUAUUUUAUUUUAUUAUUAUUAUUUUUGAGAUGGAGUUUCACUCUUGUUGUCCAGGCUGGGGUGCAAUGGUGUGAUCUUGGCUCACUGCAAUCUCCACCUCCUGGGUGCAAGCGAUUCUCCUGCCUCAGCCUCCUGAGUAGCUGGGACUAUAGUCACGCUCCACCAAGCCUGGAUAAUUUUUGUAUUUUUAAUAGAGAUGGGGUUUCACCAUGUGGGCCAGGCUGGUCUCGAACUUCUGGCCUCAAGCGAUCUGCCCUCCUUGGCCUCCCGAAGUGCUGAGAUUACAGGAGUGAGCCACUGCUCCUGGCCCCUCUUCUGUUUGAGGGUGAUGUCUGAUUAAACUUUGUUCAGUAAACCCAGAAAAUCAUCUUUAUUGCCAUGUAACAACCAGCUGAAAGAAGAAAGAAGGAAAGGAAGGGCAUAGCUGCUGCUGGAGAAGGGACAAAGACCCAAGAGCUGAGCGUAGGGUAGUGUCAGAGGCAUCUUAACCAGAGUGACGCCAUCUUUAAUAAAGGCCCGACAAAGCCAAACCUGCCGGUGACAUUCCCAGGGUGUUGGGCCCUUUCGGUCAUAAGAUGUUUAUGGUCAAGGAACAAGUUAAUGAUGUUAACUAGGCCAGGCGCAGUGACUCGCGCAUGUAAUCCCAGCCCUUUGGGAGUCCAAGGCGGACGGAUCACGAGGUCAGGAUAUUGAGACCAUCCUGGCUAACACGGUGAAACCCCGUCUCUACCGAAAAUACAAAAAAUUAGCCGGGCGAGGUGGCAGGCGCCUGUAGUCCCAGCUACUCGGGAGGCUGAGGCAGGAGAAUGGCGUGAACCCGGGAGGCGGAGUUGCAGUGAGCCGAGAUUACAUCACUGCACUCCAGCCUGGGCGACAGAGCAAGACUCCCUCAUAGAUAGAUAGAUAGAUAGAUAGAUAGAUAGAUAGAUAAAUAAAUAAGCAAGCCAGUCAUGGUGGCAUGCACCUGUAAUCCCAGCUACUUGGGAGGCUGAGGCAGGAGAAUCACUUGAACCCGGGAGGCGAAGGUUGCAGUGAGCCAAGAUCGCAUCACUGCACUCCAGCCUGGGCGACAGAGCAAGACUCCCUCAUAGAUAGAUAGAUAGAUAGAUAGAUAGAUAGAUAGAUAAAUAAAUAAGCAAGCCAGUCAUGGUGGCAUGCACCUGUAAUCCCAGCUACUUGGGAGGCUGAGGCAGGAGAAUCACUUGAACCCGGGAGGCGAAGGUUGCAGUGAGCCAAGAUCGCAUCACUGCACUCCAGCCUGGGCGACAGAGUGAGACUCCAUCUCAAAAAAAUAAUAAUAAUAAUAAAAUAAAAUAAAAUAAAAAAGGUUUUUUAUUUUAUUUUAUUUUAUUAUUAUUAUUUUUGAGAUGGAGUCUUGCUCUGUCGCCCAGGCUGGAGUGCAGUGGUGCGGUCAUGGCUCACUGCUGUCUUGCCUUCCCUAGCUUAAGGGAUCUUUUCACCUCAGCCUCCCC